AUGCAGAACAUGCCAGCUGUAGCAAAACAAGACAACACACUCAGAGGACCUGACCAUUUAAAGAGAAGUCUUGGGCUGUAUAUUAACGGUCUAGUAUUAAAUUUGGUUGUCCAUAUAUAUAUUUUUGUGUGUGUGAGGCAAAUUGGCCCUGAGCUAACGUCUGUUGCCAAUCUUCCCCCCCCACCUUUUUUUUUUUGCUUGAUUGUCCCUGAGAUUGUCUUCCUCUAUUUUAUACAUGGGACACUGCCACAGCAUGGCUUGAAGAGCUGUAUAUAGAUCUAUACCCGGGAUCCAAACCUGAAAACCCCAGGCAGCCGAAGCAGAGUUCGUGAACCCAACUACUACGCCACUGGGCUGGCCCUGGUUGUCUAUAUUUUAUGUCUCCUCUAUUUCCCACCCCUUGUCUCCUUAAUGCUCUUGCUCAAUCAGAGCAUGUUUGCUCAAUCAGAGGCAGGCGAUUGAGGGCCAGAGGCCUCGUUGCUCUUGCCUCUCUCUGCUCCUGAGAGCUGCAAAGCUGUUCAUGGUGAUUUCAGCUUUGCUCACCCCAGGUGUAUCUCCCCAGAAGUUUGUCAUGUCUCAGCUUCACUUUGUUUUAGUCACUUCAUCGAGUUUUUACAAUUGCUGGAUAAUUGCCUGAAGACAAAUUCAGAGGAGUACAAGAAAGAGGAAAAAGCAGACAUAAUCUGCCCCCUUGAGAAGAGGGCUAAAACUUACUUAGUCCAAAGGAAUUUGGUUAGGUGCUUUGCAUUUAUAGGUUUUCAUUCAUUCAUUCAUUCAUUCAUUUAUUCAUUUGUUUAGCUUUGAGUCUAUCUGACUGAGGACUUCAGUUUCCCAUCAUUCAGGGGGCAAAUGAAGCACUGGAAGUGGAAAACAUUGCUCGCCUCACAGGAAUUGCCUUGACUAAUUGAGUAACGUAGGAGUUCCAGGACACAGAGGUAAUUCCCUAAGGAUUUUGCCUGUCCUGGAAAUGCGUCCGGGUUGCUGUGUAGAUUUCUCAGUUCCUAUCGAAUGCUGUGUCAGUCAAGCACAUGUUAAUAAAGAGAAAAGAAGAUUUCUAUUUAAAAUCA
rnacentral:lncRNA from 1 species